CAGUAGCCACGGUAAUACGAGGGGUGCAAGCGUUAUUCGGAUUGAUUGGGUGUAAAGGGUGUGCAGACGGCUUAUUAAGUCACUUGUUAAAUUCUUCGGCCUAACUGAAGGUCUGCAAGUGAUACUGAUGAGCUAGAGGGUGGAAGAGAGAAGUGGAAUUCUCGGAGUAGCGGUAAAAUGCGUAGAUCUCGAGAGGAACACCAAUGGCGAAGGCAGCUUCUUGGUCCAUUCCUGACGUUCAUACACGAAAGCGUGGGGAGCAAAUGGGAUUAGAUACCCCCGUAGUCCCUGUCUCUUAUAC
rnacentral:rRNA from 1 species